UGGCGGACGGGUGAGUAACGCGUGGAAAACCUGCCGUAUACUGGGGGAUAACACUUAGAAAUAGGUGCUAACACCGCAUAAGCGCACAGCUUCGCAUGAAGCGGUGUGAAAAACUCUGGUGGUAUACGAUGGUUCCGCGUCUGAUUAGCUAGUUGGUGGGGUAAUGGCCUACCAAGGCAACGAUCAGUAGCCGGCCUGAGAGGGUGAACGGCCACAUUGGGACUGAGACACGGCCCAAACUCCUACGGAAGGCAGCAG
rnacentral:rRNA from 1 species